rnacentral:lncRNA from 1 species
GGCUCCUGACUUGGGACAGGCACAUACAUUUUGAAUGUGGCGGGGUUAAACAUGUUAGCGGGAUCCCAAAUUCAAGUCAAAUUGAUAUUUUAAAACAACAUAAAAGUUAAAAAGUGUAAAAAAAAAAUAUUUUAAUAAAUGUUGAAAAUAUUAUUGUGUUUGUGAGUGGAAAACUACUUAAAAUUGUAGAAAUAUUCAAAAGUAGCUCUCGCGUUUUUGUUCUGCGGCUACGUUAACGGAACAUCAAUCAAGUAAUCGAUCUUCAUGACUAUGGCUUCAAUAUUUAAUGGUAUAAAAUAUCAUAUUCUGCUUGUCGUAGACUCAAAAAGACUUCAAGUUGGAAUAGAUCUACGAAGACUAAAGAACGUUCAUGUGUGGUUUAGCAAUUGUACAUGCCCACGAAACCGACGUCCAGAUAUUGUUCGGAAGAUGUUUUGAGAAGUUCCGAUGCGACCGGACAAGUAAAAUUAAACUGUUACAGUAUAUUACAGAACACAAAACUGGCUAUCUUUGCUGUAAAUACAAGUUAAAAACCUGACAUGGUUUACAUUAAAGCUAAAAAUCCCAAUCCCACGGCAUCAAAUAAUUUAAAAAAAAACAUAUGACCUUUAACAUUGGAGGUCUAAACUAGCAUUGAGCCGUGUCCAGGUCCGAAAUAGAAAAUAAAGAGAUGUGGAGUAAAUGUACACGGGACAAAAUCGCACACAAUAUAUAGAAAAAAUACAAAUUAUUAAUGAACAGGGCUUUUAUGCCUGUUCUUCAUCUUGAAAGGAGCUGGAGGGUCUUCAACGAGGAACUAGACCAUUGAUCCUCAUUAUACAAAAGUAACAUAGGUUAGUGCAUCGGACUAUACAAAAACAUAAGUUCCUGGUUCGAUCACCGUUCCGGUGAGAAAAUUUCCAAUCCACUAUUAAUAAAUAUGUUUAAACUAACAAUAGCCACACACUUGACUUUGUGGAUUACAUUAUUUUUUUCAUCAUCCUACAUAUGUCUUUUGAUAUUGUUCAUACAUGUAAAUACUAAAAGUCUUACACUGUAUCUAUAUAUUUUGCUCCGAGACCAGAACAUAAUAAAAUAGAUAAAUUAAAACUUGCGCUUUAGA